rnacentral:rRNA from 1 species
GGCGGCUCGAGUGGUGGCCACUAUUACUGGGCUUAAAGCGUUCGUAGCUGGUCUGUUAAGUCUCUGGGGAAAUCUACUGGCUUAACCAAUAGGCGUCUCAGGGAUACUGGCAGACUAGGGACCGGGAGAGGUGAGAGGUACUCCAGGGGUAGGAGUGAAAUCCUGUAAUCCUUGGGGGACCACCUGUGGCGAAGGCGUCUCACCAGAACGGCUCCGACAGUGAGGGACGAAAGCUGGGGGAGCAAACC